AAGGUUACUUUUGUUCAAAUUUAUUUGAAGGCAUUCUUAGAGGUGAUUUGUGGGAACAUCUUGGAUGAAGAUGGACCAAUUGCCUGUCACUCUUUAACACAAUAAAAUGGAAAACUGUUAAGACUCUGAUGCACGAGAAAUGAGAUAAUGUAUCAGACUUUAUCCUUUCCUCAGACUCUCAAAAGAAAAGCAUAGUCUUGGCUUCAAUGACUGUUCACUCAUGGCAAAAUUCAAGUACCACAGAGGAAUGCCUGUCAACUUUCACAAGCCAACUAUCAUAAAUGAGAACUGGUUUUCAUCGUGGUAAUGCAAACCACUAUGCAACUAGCUGUUUUGAUUCAUCACAUUUUGGUACAACUUGCUUCUGGGAAAGUUGAGUCAUACCAUCUCUGGCUUGGCAAUUCAAGCAUAAACCUGCAGUGUACAUACAGCUUUUUAUAUGUUAUCCUGAGAAACCUGAAACAGCUGCACUGCUGGCAGGAAAACACAGGACCACCAGUAAAAUAUCCAAAACAGUUGCAUCUUUUAAUUUAUGACUGUGCACUGUUUCCAUAAAAGGUAUAUAAAACAGUUCAACUUUUUAUAGGUAAAAUGUAAUAAACAGUCAUACUCGGUGAUGCCAUAAAUGUGUAAAAAAAGUAUAUUUAAAAUGAUUAAUUAGUGUUUGAAAAUAGUGUUUCUUGAACACAGUCAUAAUCCAGCGCAAUGAGCAAAUAUUUUUAUAUUUGAGUUAUUAAUGCUAAGUUGUAGAUUCUCACUGCCCAAACCAAGUCAAUUAAAAUUUCUCAGCAUAGCACUGAAGAAAAUGCAUUUCCCUUCUAGCAAUCAUUUACAUGAAACAUGUCUGUGAGAAUGAUUCUUUAAAGAUCUGCCUAUUUACAUUGCUGUUUUUGAUCUCUAGGGCUGCACAAAACCGUUACUGUUAAAUAUUUUAACCUAUUCUCACCAUGGCA